CGCGCGCACCUGCAAGGAAGCCGCGUCCUGCUGUCGCCGACCCACCUGGGCUCUCGGCUCGUCCCUUUGGAAGGGAUGGAGCCUCGCGGAUUUGCAGAGCCCUAGGGUCACCUGACCAGCCACCUGAGACCCACUAAGUGGCCUCCAGGUCUUAGUGAUCAGAUGAGCGCCCCUUUACAAGGUUGCAGAGGCAAGGAAAUCCAAGGUCAGGAUGCCAGCAGAUUCGUCGUCUGGUUGUCUGACCAAUAGAUUGUGACAGAAGUGGUGCCGUGCAAGUUUUGAAGUUCAGACCUCAAGAGACUUCGAGUUUCCAUCUUUACCACAUGAGAAC